UACGGAGGAUGCAAGCGUUAUCCGGAAUUAUUGGGCGUAAAGCGUUCGCAGGCGGCUCAUCAAGUCUGCUGUCAAAUACCGGAGCUUAACUCUGGAGAGGCAGUGGAAACUGAUAGGCUAGAGUGCGGCAGGGGUAGGGGGAAUUCCCGGUGUAGCGGUGAAAUGCGUAGAUAUCGGGAAGAACACCAGUGGCGAAAGCGCCCUACUGGGCCGCGACUGACGCUCAGGGACGAAAGCCAGGGUAGCGAAAGGG
rnacentral:rRNA from 1 species